rnacentral:tRNA from 1 species
AGAAAUAUAUUGCCAGUAUUAAAGCCGCUAACUUUUAAUAAUAGCGGUUUAACUCCGUUAGUAUUUCUA